UACGUAGGGCGCAAGCGUUUAUCCGGAAUUAUUGGGCGUAAAGAGCUCGUAGGCGGUUUGUCGCGUCUGCCGUGAAAGUCCGGGGCUCAACUCCGGAUCUGCGGUGGGUACGGGCAGACUAGAGUGAUGUAGGGGGAGACUGGAAUUCCUGGUGUAGCGGUGAAAUGCGCAGAUAUCAGGAGGAACACCGAUGGCGAAGGCAGCUUACUGGGUUAUUUCUGACACUGAGAUGCGAAAGCGUGGGGAGCGAACGGG
rnacentral:rRNA from 1 species